ACCUUUCUCCCCCCACCCCCCAAGAAUAUUGCCCAUGCUGGGUUGUCAGUUAUGCUGAAUUACACUGGAUCCCUGCUUACUCAGUGAUGUAGGCAAAUAACAAUUCAAGAUCAAGGGUGAACCCUGGCCACUAAACUUGUUUCACUUGUGACUCAUUCCAGACUUAAAAACCUGGCUCUUGCUGACAUUUUAUUAACCCAAUUUGUCAUCCUCCUAACCCCCAUUAUCCAACCCAGGCAGAUUAUUUACUUUGAAAAGAUGUGCAGAUAGCUUCCAUACGAAUCCUAAGUAGAUCCAGGUGCCACAGCUAGAUUCCAGAGGGGGUUACAGUCAUGAGAGACAUGUGCUGGUAAAAUAACUUCUAGAUGCUUCCAAACUCAAUGACAUUCUCCCUCUUUAGAUUUUGUCUGGACUCUCCUUCCUGCAAAGCAGCCUGGCACCAGCAUGGUGAAGUGCCCAAGUCCAUACCUUCAGGGCUGUGUGUGUUCCCAAAGAGAUCAGCAAAGCAUUCAAGUCAAGAAUUAGCUUGCUGCCUUCCAGAGAAUUCAUCAUUUCCAGUUUGCAAGCUUGAAGAGAGAAAUCCAGGAAGCAUCAAUAAAUCUACUUUGGCAGUGGAGUAAAGAGCUGCAAAAGGAGUAACCUGUCAAGGCAGGUUUGAGCGCCGGGAGCUGAGGGUUGGUGGAGAUGCUGGGAUCGGACAUGCGGGGGCAGCCUUACCUGCGGAUUAUCGCGGCUCUAGAACACCGCGGCAGGGGCACUGCAGGCAGCUCGCUUUGGCCUCCCAACUUCCCAUGCCAAGCUCUGGAGCUUUGCCCCUUUCCAAACAAGGGACCCAUCCAGGCUUCCCAGGUUUCCUCAUUCAAAGGGCGAGCGCUGUCCCUUUAAAUAAGCGCCGAGAUCUCAGCCCAAGCGGGGACUGGAGCCCAGGCUACCCACGGUUAUGAAACCUCCCAUUCAGAGCUCGGGGGCUGCUGCUGCACUCCGAGGUUAAUAAUCAGUUUUAAUAUUCACUUAGGGGGCUGUAAAAAAAGAAUGAAAAUUUCCUAAUUUGAAAAUGGACUUGAUUGGCAGCUUUAUUAUCUCUGUAAGGUGCGUGGCAUUCCACACAAUCAAGUCGUUUUUUUAAAUAAUCUCACUGCUUAAGUCGUACACGCUGCUAAUUGCAUUUUAAUAAGUCUCUUUAAAAUCUUUCCAUAUUUUUUAAUAUCCUAAUAUUAGAUAAGUGAUUGCUGGGGACACUGGAGGGCACUGAAGUUUAUAGAAAGAGGAACACCAUAAUGAAGCUUUAUUGGGAUGGCAUCACCAAACAAUUGCUGUGAUAGCAACACUCCCAAGCUUGGAAAAGUGCCAGGCAUUCCCCCCCUGGAACUGACUCAGGCAGUAGCCUCUCUGGCUCAGGACUGACGCAGAAAAUGGAUGCUUUCUGGCUCAUAAAAUGGCCUCUUUCCGGCUUGGAAGUGACUGAGGAACUGUCCACUUUGGAUUUGGAAAGGACUUGGGAACUGGUUUUUCUCCAUUGAACAAUGACUUUGAGACACACUUUUGUUUUGCUUGGUUCUGGCUUGAAACUAUAAAAGUUGUUGGUGGUUUUUUUUGCUUUUUGUUGUUUUUUUUUUUUAA